UACGUAGGGUGCAAGCGUUGUCCGGAAUUAUUGGGCGUAAAGAGCUCGUAGGCGGUUUGUCGCGUCUGCUGUGAAAACUCGGGGCUUAACCCCGGGCCUGCAGUGGGUACGGGCAGACUAGAGUGCGGUAGGGGAGACUGGAAUUCCUGGUGUAGCGGUGAAAUGCGCAGAUAUCAGGAGGAACACCGGUGGCGAAGGCGGCUUGCUGGGCCAGUUCUGACGCUGAGGAGCGAAAGCGUGGGAGCGAACAGG
rnacentral:rRNA from 1 species